rnacentral:rRNA from 1 species
GCACAAGCGGUGGAGCAUGUGGUUUAAUUCGAUGCAACGCGAAAAACCUUACCCACCUUUGACAUGUACGGAAGUUACCAGAGAUGGUUUCGUGCUCGAAAGAGAACCGUAACACAGGUGCUGCAUGGCUGUCGUCAGCUCGUGUCGUGAGAUGUUGGGUUAAGUCCUGCUACGAGCGCAACCCUUGUCAUUAGUUGCUACGAAAGGGCACUCUAAUGAGACUGCCGGUGACAAACCGGAGGAAGGUGGGGAUGGCGUCAAGUCCUCAUGGCCCUUAUAGGUGGGGCUACACACGUCAUACAAUGGCUGGUACAGAGGGUUGCCAACCCGCGAGGGGGAGCUAAUCCCAUAAAACCAGUCGUAGUCCGGAUCGCAGUCUGCAACUCGACUGCGUGAAGUCGGAAUCGCUAGUAAUCGCGGAUCAGAAUGUCGCGGUGAAUACGUUCCCGGGC